AUUGAACGCUGGCGGCAUGCCUUACACAUGCAAGUCGAACGGUAACGCGGGGCAACCUGGCGACGAGUGGCGAACGGGUGAGUAAUGCAUCGGAACGUGCCUGGUAGUGGGGGAUAACUGCUCGAAAGAGCAGCUAAUACCGCAUACGACCUGAGGGUGAAAGGGGGGGAUCGCAAGACCUCUCGCUAUCAGAGCGGCCGAUGUCGGAUUAGCUAGUUGGUGGGGUAAAGGCCCACCAAGGCGACGAGCCGUAGCUGGUCUGAGAGGACGACCGGCCCAACGGGGACGGAGACACGGCACAGACUCCUACGGGAGGCGGCAGUGGGGAAUUUGGGACAAUGGACGCAAGGCUGAUCCAGCCAUGCCGCGUGCGGGAAGAAGGCCUUCGGGUGGUAAACUGCUUUUGUACGGAACGAAAAGACUCUGGUUAAUACCGGGGGUCCAUGACGGUACCGUAAGAAUAAGCACCGGCUAACUACGUGCCAGCAGCCGCCGUAAGAC
rnacentral:rRNA from 1 species